AUUGAACGCUGGCGGCAUGCUUUACACAUGCAAGUCGAACGGUAACAGGCCGCAAGGUGCUGACGAGUGGCGAACGGGUGAGUAAUGCAUCGGAACGUGCCCAGUCGUGGGGGAUAACGCAGCGAAAGCUGUGCUAAUACCGCAUACGAUCUGUGGAUGAAAGCGGGGGACCGUAAGGCCUCGCGCGAUUGGAGCGGCCGAUGUCAGAUUAGGUAGUUGGUGGGGUAAAGGCUCACCCAGCCGACGAUCUGUAGCUGGUCUGGGAGGACGGCCAGCCACAUUGGGACUGAGACGCGGCCCAGACGCCUACGGGAGGCAGCAGUGGGGAAUUUUGGACAAUGGGCGCAAGCCUGAUCCAGCAAUGCCGCGUGCAGGAAGAAGGCCUUCGGGUUGUAAACUGCUUUUGUACGGAGCGAAAAGGCUCUCUCUAAUACAGGGGGCUCAUGACGGUACCGUAAGAAUAAGCACCGGCUAACUACGUGCCAGCAGCCGCCGUAACAC
rnacentral:rRNA from 1 species